UAUCACGCUAGGCCAGUAGUGAACGACAACGUGCUAGUUUGAGGUCUCAACAUAUCGCGAGUCGCGAGAUGUGAGAAAUCUCAGCUCUGUCUUUAACACUCGCGAUAAUUCCUAUUUCCUUCUCUUUCACUCCCUGUAGCCAACAUGGCAGUCGGCAAGAAUAAGAGGCUGACCAAAGGUGGCAAAAAAGGUGCCAAAAAGAAGAUUGUCGACCCUUUCUCCAAGAAGGACUGGUAUGAUGUCAAGGCACCCGCUAUGUUCAACAUCCGCAACAUUGGCAAGACCUUGGUCUCCAGGACUCAGGGAACCAGUAAGUCUGCUUUUCCAACAGAUGCCGAUUUAAUGGAGCAACACAUGGUUCAGUGGUGAUGGCUACCGGUAUGAAGACUAACAUGCAGCAGAAUAACUGCAGACAGAGCCACAUGGUUCUGUGGUGAUGGCUACCAGUAUGAAGACUAACAUGCAGCAAAAUAACUGCAGACAGAGCCACAUGGUUCUGUGGAAUUAUAGCAGGGUUUGGAAACUGGGGGUUGAUUAAAGUGAGAUGAACUCCUGACCUUGUACUGUAACCAGCUAGCUAGGUAGCCUAAUUCAACUAGCUUUGGGACAACUUUGGGAGUCUGUAUAUUGGUUGGACUCACUGAGUUGUGCAUCGUUCUGGUGGGUGGUGACGGAUAACCGUACCGCAGUAUAGCCGGCUUCGCCCAAAAUGUUUCUGGUUAACAAAAGCUUAUGUAUAAUCUCUAGGGAUGUACCAGACAACGUGAAAUGUUCCUCGCUAUCAAAUCAACAUCAGUAUUCAACUUUUGUCCGAACCGCGCCGUAUUCCUGCCAAGUUAGACAGCGGUCUGCCAUUAGACCACGCACUUCACGUGAGACUGCCUACCACAAAAUCUACCAUUUAUUUAAUAGCGAGGUACACAUUUCACUACAUCUGGUAAGUAGAGUUCCUAGAGAUUAUACAUGUGCUUUUGUUGACAGGAAGUGUUUGCUUGGCGAGGCCGACCCUGUUGGUAGGGUUAUUUUCCGUCAACACCAGAACGAUGCACAACACGGGGAGUCCCAACUAAUAGUCCGGAAGUUGUCCUAAAACUACCAUUUAAUAUGGGUUUGUUGGUCAGUAAUGUCCCUUUUAGUUUUCCCUUUUAAAAUUGUUUCAGAUUGUCGGUCUUGUCUUGGUUUUGUGUGUACCGUACUGAACACAAUGGGAAUGCAUGAUGACAAAUUGUUUCGGCUCAAUGAUUGCCACUGAUUACUGGGAAAGAGAUCUGCUGAUGUUCCCUGCCUUGGCCUCCAUUCCCCUCACUGCAUCCCACAUCAACUAAUCUGUUCUACUAGGAAUUGCCUCUGAUGGUCUGAAGGGACGUGUGUUCGAGGUGAGCCUUGCUGACCUGCAGAA